rnacentral:rRNA from 1 species
AACGUAGGGUGCUAGCGUUGUUCGGAAUUACUGGGCGUAAAGGGCGCGUAGGCGGCCAAAUAAGUCAGGUGUGAAAUCCCAUGGCUUAACCAUGGAAGUGCGCUUGAAACUGUUUGGCUUGAGUACGAGAGAGGGAAGCGGAAUUCCUGGUGUAGCGGUGAAAUGCGUAGAUAUCAGGAGGAACACCUGUGGUGUAGACAGCUUACUGGACAAUUUCUGACGCUGAGACACGAAAGCGUGGGUAGCAAACAGG